UUAUGUGUUAUUUAUAUUUAGUCAAUAACCAUAAAGUCCUAUUCAGGGCCAAAAUUGACCUUUCUGUUCUUAGUUUCUUCAGCCUUUAUAAAAUGCCUACUAUUCUACUAUGUUUUCGUAUUUCUAAGUUUUAAGGCUAUAUAAGCAUUCAUUCACCCAUUUUUUCCAAUAAUGCAAUUCAAACCUCUAUCCUUGACCAAUGUAUUUAAUACUCCUUUACAUAAAGAAUUGGUACUCCUGUCAUGAAUGGUAAAUGUAGUUUUAAAAAUGUAACCUGGCCCUAGUCCUGACUCAGACAGUUUUCAAGAUGAAACAAGUUGCUGAUCCCUUUCCAUUGUUCUAUGCAAGGGUUGUAGAGAUGAUUGCCUUAGACAAGGCCAGUGGGGCCACUCACCCAGGCCACCCUUUAGAGGGUCCUUGUAUCAUAAACACCAUUCAGUUCCAAGGAAAUGCAUUUCUACUUUUCUUGCCCUGUAUCCAUGAAGCAAAGGCUCCAGUGUCCUAAUUCCAUGAAGACUUGGAGAUUGUGUCACUGUCAAUGUCAGAGACAGACACUGCUUUGAAAUGUGGGAUAGAAAUAGGUAGAGCAAAAAUAAAUUAAUUUGCCAAAUUUUUUCUACCAAACAACAAUAACACAAUAUUUUCUUGUAAAGUAGUGCUGAGUGUCUAUAUUCCUGCUUUUCCUUGUUGCCAAGGACUGGAUUGUUUCCCCAAAUUCAUGUGUUGAAGCCUUAACCCUAAUAUGACAGUAUUUAAGGAAGCAGUUAAGUUUCAGUGAGGUCAUAUGGGUGGGUCCUCAUCAAAUACGAUUAGUGUUUUUUAAGACGAGAUACCAGAUUUAUCCCUCUCUUCCUCUUUCUCCCUCUGCAUGGGCUCAGAGGAAAGGCCAUGAAGAUUGCAGCAAGAAAGCAGCUAUCUGCAAGCUGGGAAGAGAGUCCUCAGUAGAAAUCAAACUUUACUGGAUGUUGAUCUGGGAAUUCUAGCCUUCAGAAAUGGGAGAAAUACAUUUCUAUUGUUAAGUCACCCAGUCUAUAUUUCUUGUGGCAGCCCAAGCAGACUGAUACAUUUGUGUUCUAAUUCUUGGAUCUGGAGGUGGUCAUAAAUUACUGAGGUAUGCACAACAAUCGUACACAGUAUCUGAAUAGCCUUUACAGUGUUAAAUAAUUUAUAGUUCUUGAAAAAAACCAUCCAGUUGAAACAUGUGAAGCAUGACAUUGAUUCUUUUUUCCCCAGUUUUACUGAAAUGUAAUUGAAAAAUAAAACUGUAUAUUUUUAAAGUGUACAACACGAUGAUUUGAUAUAUGUAUACAUUAUGAAGUGAUGACCACAACCAAGUUAAUUAACAUUUCUAUCAUCUCAUAUAGUUUUCUUAUUUGCUUUACUUGGUGGGGAUGCUCAACAUUUACUUAGUAGAUUUCAAGCAUAUAACACAGUAUUGUUAUUUUUAUUUAUUUAUUUUUAAAUAUUUUCUUUAUUUAUUCAUGAGAGAGACACACAGAGAGAGGCACAGACACAGGCAGAGGGAGAAGCAGGCUCCAUGCAGGGAGCCCGACGUGGGACUUGAUCCUGGAUCUCCAGGAUCACACCCUGGGGUGAAGGCAGGCACCAAACCCCUGAGCCACCCAGGCUGCCCCACAGUAUUGUUAUUAACUGUAAUCCCACCAUGUUACAUAUUAGAUCCUCAGAACACAUUCAUUUUCUAACUGAAGGUUUGUACCCUUAAACCACUGUCUACUCAUUUCCUUUACACUAUAGCAUUCUACUCUCUGUUUCUGUGAGUUCAACUUUUGGCUUUUGAUUCCACAUAUAAGUGAUACUUGUACAGUAUUGGUCUUUCUCAUGACAUUGAUUCUUUACAUUGGCUGCUAGAUAGACAUUGAACAUUUCAGUUGUGAAUGGUUUUCUUUUUAUAAAAAUAUUUAAUAAGAUAUAAUUACAUUUUCAAAAGUUACAUUAAAAUUUUGUUUUUUCUUUAUAUCUUCUGGUUUAAAUUUUGUUACUGAUUAUAAGUUUUAUUUUGCCUUCUAAUUUUAUUAGCAAUAAUCGCGCCUUGGAUAAACCUCAUUGACUACAAUACUGCCACUGCGCAAAGCUUAUUUUGCCUUCUAAUUUUAAUACAUCAUUUUGAUUAUUUUAGGGAAAAAAUAAGAAACAUAAAAAAUAGUCUUACCUUAUUUACCUUUAAAUUUUUUUUAUACUUUGAAAACAAUAUUGUAUUUUUCACUUCUUUAGACCAGAGGUCAGCAAACUAGGACCUGUGGGUCAAAUCUGGUCUGCCAUUUGUUUUUAUAUAAGGCUUUAUUGGGACACAUUCAUGCCCCUAUUUUUAUGUAUCGUCUAUGGCUAUUAUCAUGGUGCAACAUCAGAGUUGAGUAAUUGCUACAAAUACCUGAAAGCCAAAAGUAAUUACUAUCUGGCCCUUUACCGGUAAAGUUUGCUAGCUCCUGCUUUAGAUCAUUGAAAAUGUGUACAAUUUGAAUCAUGAUAAAAUAAAUUAAAGUAGGAUUAAAAACCAAAAGCAAUAAGAGAGAGAAACUUUUCAAAUUAAUGUUCCAAAUUUAAAUAACCAGAAGCUAGGAAAGUGAGGGGACUUCUGUACAGCACUGCUCACAUAAAAUUUGUAAGCAAGACAUUACAAAUUAUUUAAAGAAGACUGAAGGAAAAUGAGCAAGGGACAUUAUUCACAUGAAAUCCACACUGAAAUUGGUUGGUUAGAGUUCCUGCAAUAACAGAUUCUCAUUAAAUGAAGCUGUAGUCACUGAUCAAAACAGUGAAAAUGAAAGACAAAAUUACUCAUAUCAAAUUCAUAUUUCAGAGACAGCAAAUAUAAUUCUGGCAUACUUGUUAAAAGUUGAAGAAAAAUGCAUUCAUAAAAUCUGCAAAUUGGAUAAAAAGUUGAAAACUUUGGAACUUUACUCUGUUUAUUGGAUGAUGAUUCUGGAAAAUGGCUGUCAUAUCCUGACACAAAUGAGAAUGUUUCUAGCAAAGCACAAUCUGAUUUAAAUCAAUGAUUACAGUUUUCCAUUGGAUAAACGUGGCAGAAAAUUUAUAUUUCAUAUUUUCAUAGACUUUGUUUUUUAGAGCAGCUUUAGGUUCACAGCAAAAUUGAGUGGAAAAUGCAGAGAUUUCCCAUCUCCUUCCUGUCCAUAUGCACGCACAGCCUCUCCCAUUAUCAACUUCCCCUACCAGAAUGCUGCUCUUUGUUACGAUUGAUGAACCUGCACUGACACCUCAUUAUCAUUCAGAGUCCAUAGUUUACAUCUGGGUUCACUGUCAGUGUUGUACAUUCUGUAGGUUCAGACACAGGUAUAAUGACGUACCCAUCAUUAGGUAUCAUACAGCAUAGUUUCACUGAUCUAAAAUUCCUCUGUGCUUCACAUAUUUCAUUUUAAACCCCAAAUCUUUCAAAUUGGGAAAGAAACUUAUAUUCUAAGUUCAAAGACAAAGUAUCCUGUUACUAUCAUUAUAUAUUUCUCAACCAACGUUCAUAAAUGGUUUGGGGCAAUAAUGAUAUUUGCUAUUGGAAACAUAUCCUUGAUUAAAAGAAAAUGAAAUGAUAAAGUGGCAAAAAAUAAAAUGUAACCAAGAUAAAUGCCAACCAAAUGGAAAAUAGUUAAAUGAAUUAUGCAUAGAAUAUUAUGCAAUAUGAGCAUGUAUUAUUAAGGAAUAAUUAAGCUAUAAAAAGAAUGUGAAAUGCCAUAAGCACAUAAAAUCAACAAAUACUAAAUAAAUGAACAAAAGGACUAAGUAAGUGACAAACAAUUGAUAUUUUUCAACAAAGAAGUAAAUGUAGAACAGAAUACAUAUUGUUAUAAUGUUCUUAAAAGAAUAUUAAAGAUGAUAUCAUGUGUUCAAUUUUUAAACAAAGUACAAUGAUGCUUAUGCAACAAUGUUUUUGUUCACUUUAUUGAGGUAUAAUUGAUAAAAUUGUAAGAUAUUUAAAGGGUACAUUGCAAUGAUUUGAUAAAUGUAUACAUUGCUAAGGAAUUCCUCUCAUCUAGUUAAUUAACACAUCCAUCAAUUUACACAUUUAUAUAUAUAUGUUAUACACACAUAUAUAUUUUUUUUGGUGAGAACAAACAAGUUCUACUCUCUUAACAAAUUUCGAUGACAUAAUACAAUGUUAUUAAUUAUAGUCACCAUGUUCUAUAUCAGAUCAUCAGGCCUUAUUCGUCUUAUAACUAAGUUUGUACCCUUUUAUCAACCUCUCCUUAAUAUUUAUAUAAACAUGAAACAUUUGGGGAUUUGGUAGAAAUGAUCUCCAAGUUUGUUAAUGAAUGGCUAAAUAUGUAAUAUGAAUAAAA
rnacentral:lncRNA from 1 species